rnacentral:rRNA from 1 species
ACGCUCGACACCUACGGCAGCAGUUGGGAAUAUUGGACAAUGGAGGAAACUCUGAUCCAGUGACGCCGCGUGAAGGAAGAAGGUCUUCGGAUUGUAAACUUAUUUUGUCAGGGAAGAAAAAUGACUGUACCUGAAGAAAAAGCACCGGCUAACUACGUGCCAGCAGCAGCGGUAAUCUGAGCGGGCUGGCAAGGC